rnacentral:rRNA from 1 species
CAGCCGCCGCGGUAAUACGGAGGGUGCAAGCGUUACUCGGAAUCACUGGGCGUAAAGGACGCGUAGGCGGAUUAUCAAGUCUCUUGUGAAAUCUAACGGCUUAACCGUUAAACUGCUUGGGAAACUGAUAAUCUAGAGUAAGGGAGAGGCAGAUGGAAUUCUUGGUGUAGGGGUAAAAUCCGUAGAUAUCAAGAAGAAUACCUAUUGCGAAGGCGAUCUGCUGGAACUUAACUGACGUUGAGGCUCGAAGGCGUGGGUAGCAAACAGGAUUAGAUACCCGAGUAGUCCCUGUCUCUUAUAC